rnacentral:rRNA from 1 species
UACGUAGGAGGCGAGCGUUGUCCGGAAUCACUGGGCGUAAAGCGUGCGCAGGCGGUUCGUUAUGUCCGAUGUGAAAGCCCCGAGCUUAACUUGGGAAUGGCAUUGGAAACUGGCGGGCUGGAGUGCGGCAGAGGGGGGUGGAAUUCCACGUGUAGCAGUGAAAUGCGUAGAGAUGUGGAGGAACACCGAUGGCGAAGGCAGCCCCCUGGGCCGACACUGACGCUCAGGCACGAAAGCGUGGGGAGCAAACAGG